AGUAUGCGGGUGCUAUACAUGCAAGUCGAGCGAACUGAUUAGAAGCUUGCUUCUAUGACGUUAGCGGCGGACGGGUGAGUAACACGUGGGCAACCUGCCUGUAAGACUGGGAUAACUUCGGGAAACCGAAGCUAAUACCGGAUAGGAUCUUCUCCUUCAUGGGAGAUGAUUGAAAGAUGGUUUCGGCUAUCACUUACAGAUGGGCCCGCGGUGCAUUAGCUAGUUGGUGAGGUAACGGCUCACCAAGGCAACGAUGCAUAGCCGACCUGAGAGGGUGAUCGGCCACACUGGGACUGAGACACGGCCCAGACUCCUACGGGAGGCAGCAGUAGGGAAUCUUCCGCAAUGGACGAAAGUCUGACGGAGCAACGCCGCGUGAGUGAUGAAGGCUUUCGGGUCGUAAAACUCUGUUGUUAGGGAAGAACAAGUACGAGAGUAACUGCUCGUACCUUGACGGUACCUAACCAGAAAGCCACGGCUAACUACGUGCCAGCAGCCGCGGUAAUACGUAGGUGGCAAGCGUUAUCCGGAAUUAUUGGGCGUAAAGCGCGCGCAGGCGGUUUCUUAAGUCUGAUGUGAAAGCCCACGGCUCAACCGUGGAGGGUCAUUGGAAACUGGGGAACUUGAGUGCAGAAGAGAAAAGCGGAAUUCCACGUGUAGCGGUGAAAUGCGUAGAGAUGUGGAGGAACACCAGUGGCGAAGGCGGCUUUUUGGUCUGUAACUGACGCUGAGGCGCGAAAGCGUGGGGAGCAAACA
rnacentral:rRNA from 1 species